AAUCAACGCUGGCGGCGUGCCUCAGACAUGCAAGUCGAACGCGAAAGUCCCCCUCGGGGACGAAGUAGAGUGGCGCACGGGUGAGUAACACGUAGGUAAUCUACCUUCGGGUGGGGAAGUAACAAUCGGAAACGGUUAGCUAAUACCGCAUAAUGCAGCGGCACCUAAUGGUGACAGUUGUUUAAAGACGGGGGAGUCNCAAGAUCUCGCGCCUGAAGAGGAGCCUGCGGCGGAUUAGCAGUUGGUAGGGUAAUGGCCUACCAAGGCGACGAUCCGUAGCCGGCCUGAGAGGGCGGUCGGCCACA
rnacentral:rRNA from 1 species